UACAGAGGGUGCGAGCGUUGUUCGGAAUUAUUGGGCGUAAAGGGCGCGUAGGCGGCUUGACAAGUCACUUGUGAAAUCUCCGGGCUUAACUCGGAACGGCCAAGUGAAACUGUCAUGCUAGAGUGCAGAAGGGGCAAUCGGAAUUCUUGGUGUAGCGGUGAAAUGCGUAGAUAUCAAGAGGAACACCUGAGGUGAAGACGGGUUGCUGGGCUGACACUGACGCUGAGGCGCGAAAGCCAGGGGAGCAAACGGG
rnacentral:rRNA from 1 species